rnacentral:rRNA from 1 species
CACGUAGGGGGCGAGCGUUGUCCGGAUUUAUUGGGCGUAAAGAGCUCGUAGGCGGCUCAGUAAGUCGGGUGUGAAGACUCCAGGCUCAACCUGGAGACGCCACCUGAUACUGCUGUGGCUAGAGUCCGGUAGGGGAGCAUGGAAUUCCUGGUGUAGCGGUGAAAUGCGCAGAUAUCAGGAGGAACACCAGUGGCGAAGGCGGUGCUCUGGGCCGGAACUGACGCUGAGGAGCGAAAGCGUGGGGAGCAAACAGG